GUAAGAGCUGAGUUCAUGUUCCAGAGGGCGAAAGUCAGGACGCAGAGGUGGGUGGGACUGUUUCUGUUUGGCAUCUCUUGAGUCAGAAAAGAAGCAAGCACAUCAGAACGGCAGCAAGAGGGAUCGAGAAUGCUGGAAGCCAAGCUUGCACAUUCUAGGCAGCCAUUUGGAAGAUUCUUCUCUGCGCAUGACCAGCUGAAAAGGAAAAACCCCGAAACAUUGGCACUGUGAUUUCUCCAUGUGAACAGUUUAGUUCGCCGAGGUGGACAUGCCUCAUUCAUGCUUAUGGAGUGACCGACCAGCCUUUAGUGACACCCCCUGAAAUGUGAGUCAUCCAUGGGUCACUAGUCAUUGGAGAAGAGCCCCUUAUACAAAACUUGGAGCUCAGACCACAAACAACAACAACAAUCCAAAAAAUAAAAAAAUGAAAAAUUAGGAGCAGAGACUAAAUGGAAAGAUGGAAAUAUUAAAAUAAAAAUAUUAUUUUAAAAAUUAAUAUGUAUUAAAAUUUU
rnacentral:lncRNA from 10 species